AACGAACGCUGGCGGCAGGCUUAACACAUGCAAGUCGAGCGAGACCUUCGGGUCUAGCGGCGGCCGGGGGGGUAACGCGUGGGAACGUGCCCUUCUCUACGGAAUAGCCCCGGGAAACUGGGAGUAAUAACGUCUACGCCCUUCGGGGGAAGGAUUUAUCGGAGAAGGAUCGGCCCGCGUUUGAUUAGGUAGUUGGUGGGGUAAUGGCCCACCAAGCCGACGAUCCAUAGCUGGUUUGAGAGGAUGAUCAGCCACACUGGGACUGAGACACGGCCCAGACUCCUACGGGAGGCAGCAGUGGGGAAUCUUAGACAAUGGGGGCAACCCUGAUCUAGCCAUGCCGCGUGAGUGAUGAAGGCCUUAGGGUUGUAAAGCUCUUUCAGCUGGGAAGAUAAUGACGGUACCAGCAGAAGAAGCCCCGGCUAACUCCGUG
rnacentral:rRNA from 1 species